GGGUGGAUUUUUUCGCAACGAACGCAUGCAAUCUUCCUAAAUAUGCACUAGAACAUGUUUGGGAGUGUUUUUGGCCAUUCGGUUCCGGCACGAAAAAUGAUGCAAAACGGGUGCAUUUCGGCACCCGAAUGCACUAUUGCCGGGUAGCGAAACUCGGGUGGAUUUUUUCGCAACGAACGCAUGCAAUCUUCCUAAAUAUGCACUAGAACAUGUUUGGGAGUGUU
rnacentral:lncRNA from 1 species